rnacentral:piRNA from 1 species
UGAAAACAUGAUCACUGUUUGUUGGG